rnacentral:rRNA from 1 species
GAUGAACGCUGGCGGCGUGCCUAAUACAUGCAAGUCGAGCGAACGGACGAGAAGCUUGCUUCUCUGAUGUUAGCGGCGGACGGGUGAGUAACACGUGGAUAACCUACCUAUAAGACUGGGAUAACUUCGGGAAACCGGAGCUAAUACCGGAUAAUAUUUUGAACCGCAUGGUUCAAAAGUGAAAGACGGUCUUGCUGUCACUUAUAGAUGGAUCCGCGCUGCAUUAGCUGGUUGGUAAGGUAACGGCUUACCAAGGCAACGAUGCAUAGCCGACCUGAGAGGGUGAUCGGCCACACUGGAACUGAGACACGGUCCAGACUCCUACGGGAGGCAGCAGUAGGGAAUCUUCCGCAAUGGGCGAAAGCCUGACGGAGCAACGCCGCGUGAGUGAUGAAGGUCUUCGGAUCGUAAAACUCUGUUAUUAGGGAAGAACAUAUGUGUAAGUAACUGUGCACAUCUUGACGGUACCUAAUCAGAAAGCCACGGCUAACUACGUGCCAGCAGCCGCGGUAAUACGUAGGUGGCAAGCGUUAUCCGGAAUUAUUGGGCGUAAAGCGCGCGUAGGCGGUUUUUUAAGUCUGAUGUGAAAGCCCACGGCUCUUCCGUGGAGGGUCAUUGGAAACUGGAAAACUUGAGUGCAGAAGAGGAAAGUGGAAUUCCAUGUGUAGCGGUGAAAUGCGCAGAGAUAUGGAGGAACACCAGUGGCGAAGGCGACUUUCUGGUCUGUAACUGACGCUGAUGUGCGAAAGCGUGGGGAUCAAACAGGAUUAGAUACCCUGGUAGUCCACGCCGUAAACGAUGAGUGCUAAGUGUUAGGGGGUUUCCGCCCCUUAGUGCUGCAGCUAACGCAUUAAGCACUCCGCCUGGGGAGUACGACCGCAAGGUUGAAACUCAAAGGAAUUGACGGGGACCCGCACAAGCGGUGGAGCAUGUGGUUUAAUUCGAAGCAACGCGAAGAACCUUACCAAAUCUUGACAUCCUUUGACAACUCUAGAGAUAGAGCUUUCCCCUUCGGGGGACAAAGUGACAGGUGGUGCAUGGUUGUCGUCAGCUCGUGUCGUGAGAUGUUGGGUUAAGUCCCGCAACGAGCGCAACCCUUAAGCUUAGUUGCCAUCAUUAAGUUGGGCACUCUAAGUUGACUGCCGGUGACAAACCGGAGGAAGGUGGGGAUGACGUCAAAUCAUCAUGCCCCUUAUGAUUUGGGCUACACACGUGCUACAAUGGACAAUACAAAGGGCAGCGAAACCGCGAGGUCAAGCAAAUCCCAUAAAGUUGUUCUCAGUUCGGAUUGUAGUCUGCAACUCGACUACAUGAAGCUGGAAUCGCUAGUAAUCGUAGAUCAGCAUGCUACGGUGAAUACGUUCCCGGGUCU